CCCUUAGAUGUCCUGGGCUGCACGCGCGCUACACUGGAAGUUACGGAUUGAGAUACUACCUUGUCCGAAAUGGUCCGGGUAAUCACCUAAAAGCUUGUCAUAAUUGGAAUGGAUUAUUGUAACUAGUAAUCCUGAACGAGGAAUUCCUAGUAAGUCCCAGUCAACAGCUGGUACUGAUUACGUCCCUGCCCUUUGUACACACCGCCCGUCGCUACUACUGAUUGGACGUUUAAGCAAGAUUUUUAAACACUGACAGUGUGUAGUUCACGCUAUACUACAGUGAGAAGAAGAAGACCGAACUUACUUGUCUAGAGGAAGUAAAAGUCGUAACA
rnacentral:rRNA from 1 species